UGCCCCACCCCAAGCUUAAGAACAAGCAUUGUCCUCAAUGCUUAAGGUAAGGGCAAAAAUGACCUAAAUCGGAGGAUUGGAUGACGGGAGAUGUCUGUGGCGGUGAUUUCGUGAAAUUACGACCGGUAGAAUUCCGACAAUCUUGAAUUUUCCGGCGAGGUGGUUGCUGGAAGGUUAUAUGAGAGGAAUGGAGUGGGAGGUCAAGAUGAUUAAAUGAAGAAGAAGGGAAGCUGAACAUUUUAAUCUAUGGGUCAAAAAGGGUCAAUUUCGGUCAAUGUUGGUCAAGAAAAGUCAAAAGGUCAACUCAUUAAAACCUUUGGUCAACACCUGGUCAAAUAAUAGCCAAAAAUAGCCCAAAUUGCCCAGCACAGUGCGCGGGUCGCGCAGAGUAGCACGCGGGUCGCGCAGACCUUGCAGUUAAGUCUUGGGCCAAUGUCGCUUCAUCACACAUGGCCGCGCAACCCACCCGCGCAACAGCACGCGCGUCGCGCAACCUCCUGAUCCUGAUCUUCAUUUUUGCUUCAUUUUUCUUCGUUUUUCACCCGUUCUUGCUUUGGAAGGCCCCAAACACCUAGAAACUCUUGAUUUCUUAAAAAACAACUCUUUUGAAUCCCAAAAACAUCUUCAAAACUCAUUUAUUCAAAUUAAAAACACGAAAACACAAUGCUUUCCAAAAAUGCCCUUCUUUAACGUCUUUGGCGAGACGCCUCCAAACUUCACUUUAACACUUUGGGGCGUCCAAAUGGACGACAUCUUGGACAUUUGAAUCAAAACCUUCAUUGAAUGGCUUCAAUCGAUGUCCAUUAACCUUGCAAAUUUGCCCCGUGUCUACAUUUUUUAAUUUCCACACCUCCAUUGGGACUCUUUUCUUGUAUUUGACUUUCUUUUUACGGGAGAACCAUACCGGACUCAGACCUUUGAUAAUAGCAAUCAUCCAACCAUAUUCUCUCUUGUACUUGUUCAGUAAGGUGACCAACUCUUCCCUCUUUGACAUGGUGGUUGAGUAGGUGACCGGUUGGGCGUCUUCUUUCUCGGGAUAGGUAUCCUUUGAAGGGUCCGGCAGAUUUAUCGUUUCCGGAUCUUGUGGUUGUUCUGCCACUAGAGUUAGUUUCUCAUUGGUAGUGGGUGGCUCAAUAUCUCUUUCGUUAACCCCUAUUACUUCGUUUACAGUUUCAUUGACAACAUUCUCAAUUUCUUCUUCCUCUUUGACAACUUCUUCCACUUCUACUUCUUCUUCCUCUUCUUCAUAUAACACUCUUGGGCCAUCAAAAGUUUUCUCAUCUUUCAAAGGAAUGCAACAUGCGUUAUGACAUGGGUUCUCUUGAGAUGGUAAUUUGUGUUGAGCUUCCACUAUACUCAAUGAUUGAGCAAUUUGUGUUAUUUGUUGCUCUAAGCUUUUGAGGCUAGCUUGAGUUGUUUCCUGGAAAAUUUGGGUAGAAGUGGCAAUGCUUUUCACAAUGUCCUCUAAGGACAUGCUUGGCGUUUCAGUUUGUUGAGGAGGGUAAGGAUAGGGUUCUUGGAACAGUGGAGUUGGUUGGUAUUGGUUAUUUCCCCAUGUUUGGUAUGGGUUUUGGUAAUGGUUAUUUCCCCAAACUUGGUUGUUGUCCCACCAUUGAUCAUGUUGAGGCUGAUCAUAACUCCAUUGGUUUGACCGGUAGUAGCUUCCUUUCUCUUGCACUUCUUCCCAUUCUCCUUGUAAAUAUGGACACAUGUCGGAAUGAUGUCCAUUUUGGGCGCAAAAAUCACAAAGAAGAGGUGUGGGCUGCACACUUUGGUCACUUUCAAUCAUCAUAACUAACUGAGCUAGCUCAGAAAGUUGGUCUUCGGUGCAAGGAGUGUUCAUUUCCAAAUCAUAUUUUUUUUUUUAAUUUCGGGGUUUUAAAUUAGAGUACCUGCACAAUGAGAUGUAGGCAUAGAGAAACAAACUGAUUAAAUCAAAACCAAUCCCCGGCAACGGCGCCAAAAAUUUGGUGGUUGUCGAGGCCAACACAAAUAAUAACCCUAAAUAUUACACACUAAAAUAGUGUAUAGUGGUAAAGGGAUCGAAUCCACGGAGAUUGGUUCAAUUUAUAACUCUAUGAAAAAUCUCUUUGUAAAAAUACUUGUAAAAUGACAAUAAAAAUAAAAUGGGGGGUUUUGGUGUUUUGAAAUACUUGAAACAAACUAGAAUUAACUAUGAUUUAAAUAGACAAAUGCAACAAAAAUAAGAGUUUGAUGUAAAAUCAAUAAGGGAGAGAUGGUUGACUUAAAGUUUCCUCACUUUGACUUUUGAUGAACAUAUCAUUAGAAUCCAAUGGUGCAAUACUUUGAUUUAAAUCCUUAAUUUGGCUAUAGUAAUCCAAGGAGCUUGAGAUUACCUAGACUUUUCUUAAUUGUUGAAAUGGCUAGAGAAGCUCAUAACAAUUUCCUUAGUCAAAGUCACUAAUUCCAAAUAGCAUGUAAUUAGUGAAAGUCAACUAGCAUUAAGAACCAAAAAGUCACCAAAUCCAAGAGGGGUCAAAUGCUUUCACCACCAUGUUGGAGGAAAUGUUUUUAUGAUUGUGUGAAGCAAAAACAACACAAAAAUCAUUUGUUGCUUGCUAAUUUGAGGAUCCUUUACUUAAUCAAGAAAUUAGCCAACUAAUCACCACAAACACAUUUAAACUCAUGAACUAAAACAUACAAGUAGUGAUAAGAUGUUAAAACACAAAACAUUCCCAUAAAGAUUUAAGAACAUGUUCAUGGAUUCUUCAACAUUCAACAAAAGUUCAAAGGAUUAACCAAAAGUCAACCAAGAUUAGUUUAGCCAAGCAUGGCUAAACCCAAAGAAACAAAGUUAGAGAAAAUUGUACCAAACAUUAAGCAAGAAUCAAGAGGUAAAAAUAUGAUGUUCUUCAAGUGUUCUUGGCCUUCAAAAGUCUUCAAAACCCCAGAGAGAAUCUCCAAAAAUCGGAUGUCCAAGAGUCUCCAAAAGAUGAGCACCAACCUUCCUCAAAUAGCCUUCCAAAUGGAUUUCCGAAAUUACCCCUGCAGAGCCUUGCGCGACCCGCGUGCUGCUGCGCGGGUGGGUUGCGCGGGUGGUGCCUGACAUGGGCUUCUUUGAGAUUUUGGGCCUCCAAAGCAUAUCCCACUAGCCCAGAUCGAAUCCAAUCACCUCCUAGCCCAUUUUCUUCAAGUUUUUCUUCAUUUUAAGCCCAAUUUGACCUCUCCAAAUCCUCCAAAGCUCGUGCACUCUCCCGAUUAAAAAUCUACGUAUGCUUGAAUAAACUCCCGCAUCUUGCAAAUUUAAAGUUUAUUUCUCUCCAAGCCUUCAAAUAACCAUCAAGCUCGCUCCAUGCAUAAUCUCCACAAUCACCAAGCCUAACAUCAUUUUUGUCUACCAAAUCUCAUCGCUUCCCAUACGUCCCGAACACUCCCGCUCCGCUAGACCCGAAAACCUGUAAUUAUGCUCACAAGAUUCGAAAGUACCCGAAAUAGUCAUAAAAUAACAAAAUGGAAAAUAUGCAUGGAAAUUAUCUAAAUUAUGAAUGAAAUAUGCUAAAAUAAACUCUAAAAAGAAGUAAACAAAACUAACUAUCAAAUCACCCCAAGCUUAAACCUUACUUGUCCUCAAGUAAGACAAGACUAAAAUGAACUUGGGAUAUAAACUAUCCUAGAGAAAAUAAAAAGAAUGGAUAGAGCCGCAGAACCUGAUCACCGUUAGUCAGCAUGGUCAAAAUUGAUCCUGCUAUUACCUCACGAAUUUUUCAUCCGAUGACAAUGGUACCAUAAACCACAGCCAGGAUAACUCCUUUAGGUGAGUAAGGAGGGAUGAGCAGUCGCAGCCUCAAUGGAACAUGCAUACAAUGAAGAAUAUCUGUAGUAGGGAGAAAGCAGCUGGAUGGGCUCGGGUGGAGCUCUUCUUUAAAUGUACACUCUGAUCUCACGUUUGCCGGUUUCUCUCAUGUGUAACUAGGUUUAAUCGCUCGGGCACCGUUGUAGGAAUCGGUUCACUUGGUGUUGGCCCAAACCUCCCGUAGUAUCUGACUCGACAGUCUCCCUAACAUCACCAAUUUGCGAAAAACAACUCGAUCUAUAUACAAUAAAACAUACCUAAAUAAAUGAAUAUCAAACGUCGGGUGACCAAAAUGUUGGAAAAUUUAGUUCAAUAAUUGAACCGGUCACCCUUCUCAGAUUUCUGCAGCUGGGAAUUUGCCUGCCCCCCUUUUUUUUUGUUUUUUGUUUUUUUGUUUUUUGUUUUUUUUUUAUACCAUACUUGAAGGUAAUGUAAUAACAACCCUUUGACUCAAAAUUUGGUUCCUAAAAUGUGUAAGUGGAACCGAAAGGGUAGUAAUAUAAUCCGAAUGGUCUAAGCGAGAAAAUGACCAUGUGUGGAGCAUAAAGAUAUAAUGUAAGCUCCUUUUCAAAUUUGUGAAUUUUUUUUUUCAAAAAUAAUGAAAAUGUCCACAUGCGGACUAAAAGACUUCUCUAAAAUCCUAAGAAAAUCGCAAAAAGAUAUGGUGAUGUAAAGAGACCGGAUAUGGAUUCUACUCGGGGACAAGCACUAGUGCUUCAUCCUAACGGUUCAAACAUGAUCAAGUGUGAUCCUCUCGGCGGUAGUGACCGCAAGGCUAAGACAUCCAUUGCUAUAGUAUAUCCUACAGUCAUUAGUAUUGUAUGCAUAAUUCUUCAUGAAAACUACCUGUCCAUGAUCACUUACCCCUUUAAGCUACCAGCAUCUGAUCCCAAGUAUGAGAUCCCAAACUGCAGCUAAUGGUCCCGGUUCGAUGGGUGAGAUAACAACAAGAUCCUGGACCAAUAAUGAUACAAUAACUGUGAACCUAUUCCAAGGCAUCCAGGGGUGAGAAUAAACAGACAACAAAAAUGCAUGAAUGCUAAUUCCCUAAGCUAAAUGUUAUGCAAAAAAAUAGAAAGUAGAAAAGAAGAAAAUAAAAUCUUUUUGGAAUUUUAUAAAAAAAAUGAACUCGAAUUUGCCUAAAACUAAAAUGAUAUGCAACCUAACUAAAAAUGCAUGAAAAAAAUAAAGGAAAAAGAAAUGCCCCACCCCAAGCUUAAGAACGAGCAUUGUCCUCAAUGCUUAAGGUAAGGGCAGAAAUGACCUAAAUCGGAGGAUUGGAUGACGGGAGAUGUCUGUGGCGAUGAUUUCGUGAAAUUACGACCGGUAGAAUUCCGACAAUCUUGAAUUUUCCGGCGAGGUGGUUGCUGGAAGGUUAUAUAAGAGGAAUGGAGUGGGAGGUCAAGAUGAUUAAAUGAAGAAGAAGGGAAGCUGAACAUUUUAAUCUAUGGGUCAAAAAGGGUCAAUUUCGGUCAAUGUUGGUCAAGAAAAGUCAAAAGGUCAACUCAUUAAAACCUUUGGUCAAC
rnacentral:lncRNA from 1 species